GAUGAACGCUGGCGGCGUGCCUAAUACAUGCAAGUCGAGCGAACAGACGAGGAGCUUGCUCCUCUGACGUUAGCGGCGGACGGGUGAGUAACACGUGGAUAACCUACCUAUAAGACUGGGAUAACUUCGGGAAACCGGAGCUAAUACCGGAUAAUAUAUUGAACCGCAUGGUUCAAUAGUGAAAGACGGUUUUGCUGUCACUUAUAGAUGGAUCCGCGCCGCAUUAGCUAGUUGGUAAGGUAACGGCUUACCAAGGCAACGAUGCGUAGCCGACCUGAGAGGGUGAUCGGCCACACUGGAACUGAGACACGGUCCAGACUCCUACGGGAGGCAGCAGUAGGGAAUCUUGCGCAAAGGGCGAAAGCCUGACGGAGCAACGCCGCGUGAGUGAUGAAGGUCUUCGGAUCGUAAAACUCUGUUAUUAGGGAAGAACAAAUGUGUAAGUAACUAUGCACGUCUUGACGGUACCUAAUCAGAAAGCCACGGCUAACUACGUG
rnacentral:rRNA from 1 species